GGAGAGAAUGUGUUGGUGGUGGUGGAGAGGAGGAAGGUGAUGAUGAAUGAAGAAGAGUUGAAGUUAGCAACAAGUGGAUUUAUGAAGGAUUGGGUGUGGCUAAAGGAAGGCCUACGUGGCUUUCUCUUAACGUUUGAUUCGUUUCACAUCGGUCCUAGAUUCAUGUCUUUGUAGUUUUUUUCGGUUUUUCCUUGUAUUAUAUCCACAUAUGUUAUUCACCAAAAAAUACAA
rnacentral:lncRNA from 1 species